CUGCAUUUGCGAUCAUUGGAUUUUGCGUCAGCAGUGCUCAUAAAACUAGUUCAAAGGGCUUUUGUCAGCACUGAAGUUGUAAGAAGGACGUAACUGAAGUUAAGUUACUUCAUUGACCCUCUUAAGUCAAGGAGUUCGAUAUCUUUGUCUAUUUCAGUAAUUUCAUCUCUCAGCGAGUUAGGGUUUGAGGAAACCACUAUAAAUAAAUUUACUCAGUGGCUGCUGAAAAUCAUCUUAUGCCUGCUCUGUCUAUACUCUGGGUUUCAAUGGCUACCACGCCGUCAAAUGGUUCUACAGAGCAGUUUAUGUUUUAGUUUCGACUCCAUUCAUAAUGGAGCCUGGAGGGAAUGUGAAUCUUUCUUGAAGAACAACUUUGGUAAUCAAAUUUAUUCGUCUUCUUUUGCGUUAUUUCCUUCUGGGCAUCGAUUGUUGCAGGGUGUUUUGCUCAGAUUGGGCUGCUUGUCUGUACUGCCUUGGUAAGUGUGCUAUCCAAGAACUACUCGGAAGGGCAAUCCAAACCAAGACACAUUGAUUUUCAAAACAAAAUUGCCAGAGGCUAAGACUUUGUUUAUGAAAUCCAAUUUCUAUAGAAAUGGAUUGAUUAAGGAUUGGAUAUUCAUUAGAGUUUAACUUCCAUGAAUGCACUUUUCCAGAGAAUUAAACUUUCCUGAAACCAAAGUAUAAUAUAUUAACAAAUAUUAAACAUCCAUUACAAAUCA